GGUCAGGGGUCACAGGUCCUGCUCAUGCAUCUGCUGCUGCAUCUUCUGAAGCAUCUGCUGCAUCCUCCUCAACUGCAGAGACCAGGACAAGACAAAGAAAAGGGGGAUGAGAGACGCCUUACAUAAUAACGCAUAUGGGCGUGGACAGCGGCAGGAUCGGGAGGGGGCUCUCCACCCGCUUAUCUGCAUUCAUCUUACUGUGAGAUAAGAGAUAAACAUGAAGGAGGAUAACUGCAAGCCACUGGGUUUUCAUUUGUUUCACUGCAGUAUGGAAAUAAACUUGCAGCAACCUC